rnacentral:rRNA from 1 species
GGGCAGCAGUGGGGAAUUUUGGACAAUGGGCGCAAGCCUGAUCCAGCAAUGCCGCGUGCAGGAAGAAGGCCUUCGGGUUGUAAACUGCUUUUGUACGGAACGAAACGGUCUGGAUUAAUACUCUGGGCUAAUGACGGUACCGUAAGAAUAAGCACCGGCUAACUACGUGCCAGCAGCCGCGGUAAUACGUAGGGUGCAAGCGUUAAUCGGAAUUACUGGGCGUAAAGCGUGCGCAGGCGGUUUUGUAAGACAGUCGUGAAAUCCCCGGGCUCAACCUGGGAAUUGCGAUUGUGACUGCAAGGCUGGAGUGCGGCAGAGGGGGAUGGAAUUCCGCGUGUAGCAGUGAAAUGCGUAGAUAUGCGGAGGAACACCGAUGGCGAAGGCAAUCCCCUGGGCCUGCACUGACGCUCAUGCACGAAAGCGUGGGGAGCAAACAGGAUUAGAUACCCCUGUAGUC